rnacentral:rRNA from 1 species
UCGAGGAUAGUCUACAAUGGUCGAAAGAUUGAUAGUGCGACGCCGCGUGAACGAAGAAGCAUUUCGGUGUGUAAAGUUCUUUUCUAUGCGAGCAGGAUGCUGGAGGUAAAUAGUCUCUGGUAUUUGAUAUUAGUAUAGGAAUAAGCCACGGCUAACUCCGUGCCAGCAGCCGCGGUAAUACGGGGGUGGCUAGCGUUAUCCGGAAUUACUGGGCGUAAAGGGUGCGUAGGUGGUUUCUUAAGUCAGAGGUGAAAGGCUACGGCUCAACCGUAGUAAGCCUUUGAAACUGGGAAACUUGAGUGCAGGAGAGGAGAGUGGAAUUCCUAGUGUAGCGGUGAAAUGCGCAGAUAUUAGGAGGAACACCAGUUGCGAAGGCGGCUCUCUGGACUGUAACUGACACUGAGGCACGAAAGCGUGGGGAGCAAACA